AGGAGUGUAGCUCUGUAUUAUAUAGCACAGGUCUUGCAGGUUUGAAGCCCUGGGUUCGAGUCCCAGUACACCCA
rnacentral:tRNA from 1 species